AUAAUACAACAGAGUACGUCAUAGAUAAGAUAGAGUUACU
rnacentral:guide_RNA from 1 species